GUCUCUGUAGCACAAUAAAUAGCGCGUUGGACUUCUAAUUCAAAGGUCGGGGGCUCGAAUCUCUCCUGGGAUG